GAUGAACGCUGGCGGCGUGCUUAACACAUGCAAGUCGAACGGAAAGGCCCAAGCUUGCUUGGGUACUCGAGUGGCGAACGGGUGAGUAACACGUGGGUGAUCUGCCCUGCACUUCGGGAUAAGCCUGGGAAACUGGGUCUAAUACUGGAUAGGACCACUUCUUGGAUGGUGUGGUGGAAAGUUUUUUCGGUGUGGGAUGAGCUCGCGGCCUAUCAGCUUGUUGGUGGGGUAAUGGCCUACCAAGGCGUCGACGGGUAGCCGGCCUGAGAGGGUGUACGGCCACAUGGGGACUGAGAUACGGCCCAGACUCCUACGGGAGGCAGCAGUGGGGAAUAUUGCACAAUGGGCGCAAGCCUGAUGCAGCGACGCCGCGUGGGGGAUGACGGCCUUCGGGUUGUAAACUCCUUUCGCUAGGGACGAAGCGUUUUUGUGACGGUACCUGGAGAAGAAGCACCGGCUAACUACGUG
rnacentral:rRNA from 1 species